UACGUAGGGUGCAAGCGUUGUCCGGAAUUAUUGGGCGUAAAGAGCUCGUAGGCGGCUUGUCGCGUCGAAUGUGAAAACUCGGGGCUCAACUCCGAGCUUGCAUUCGAUACGGGCAGGCUAGAGUUCGGUAGGGGAGACUGGAAUUCAUGGUGUAGCAGUGAAAUGCGUAGAGAUCAUGAGGAAGACCAGUGGCGAAGGCGGGUCUCUGGACAGUUCCUGACACUGAGACACGAAGGCCAGGGGAGCAAACGGG
rnacentral:rRNA from 1 species